AGCGAGCGAAUAGCGGAAGGGAAAGGGGAAGAGUACCCCGGGAGGAGAGUGAAACAGUCGCAGAAACGGGCCGCCUACAAACCGUCGGAGCCCGUUUGUGGGGUGACGGCGUGCCUAUCGAAAAAUGAGUCUGCGAGUCAGUGGCAUGUGGCGAGCAUAACCCGUGUGGGGUAUGCGUAGCGAAGGCGAGUCUUAAAAGGCGUUUGAGUCGCGUGUCCUGGCCCCGAAGCGGGAUGAUCUAGCCCUGAGCAGGUUGAAGCGCGGGCAAGACCGCGUGGAGGACCGAACCCACCCGGGUUGAAAACCGGGGGGAUGACCUGGGGCUAGGGGCGCACUGCCAAUCAAAUUCCGGGAUAGCUGGUUCUCUCUGGAAUGCAUGUGGGUGCAGCGUCGGGGCAUGACGUCCCGGGGGG
rnacentral:rRNA from 1 species